GCCGGGGUAGCCCAACUGGGUAGAGGCGCCUGGUCGAGAGCCAGGUCAUGUGUGGGUUCGAAUCCCACUCCCGGCACCA
rnacentral:tRNA from 1 species